rnacentral:lncRNA from 1 species
GAUCAUCUAUCUCAAACUCAUACAUCACAUUCUCUUCUUUACAAAAAAGAGCAAACUGAAGUCCUCAGUGACAAGUACACCUUCCUUAAAACCUUUCUUGACGAUUUUACUAAUAUUUUCCAUGAAGAUAUAAAGAUGAAGCAUCUGGAAAGGAUGAUCCAAGAAGCUGCUAAUGGAGUGGAAGAUACUAUUGACUCACAUGUAUAUGAUAGCUCUGUCUUAGUACAAAGCAAGCGAGUACAAAGAAAGGCUGAUACAAUUUUUCAUCAAAACUUGGAAUAUGCAAUUGAGGAAAUUGGUUUGAUACAAAAAGAGGUUAUGAAAAAGAUAAAGGUCAACAAGUUCAACAGCAAAAUCUCUCAUUCAAGAGAUACUUCAUCUCAGAUCCCUAUGGAUCAAAAAGAUGUAAUCAUCGGACUAGAUGAAGACUUGCUAAAGAUAAAAGAUCGACUCAUCGUGCAAUCAUCAAGACUCGAAGUUGUCCCCAUUAUAGGGAUGGGUGGUAUAGGCAAGACCACACUGGCUAGAAGAGUUUAUGAUGAUUCCUUGAUUGCAUACCAUUUUUAUGUUCGAGCAUGGACAAAUGUAUCUCAAGAAUUUGACACUAGAGAAAUUUUUCUUGGUAUUCUUCGCUCCAUUGGCGUGGUCAAGGAUGAAGUAGAAAGAAACAGUACUAAUGAGCAAUUGGCUGAAAGAGUUUAUCGAAGUUUAAAAGGGAUGAAGUAUCUUAUUGUCCUAGAUGAUAUGUGGUCCAUCGAGGCUUGGAAGCAUGUGAGGAGAUCUUUUCCGGAUGAUCAUAAUGGAAGUCGAAUCUUGUUGACCACGAGGCUGGUAGAUGUUGCAUCUUGUGCUUGCUCUGGCAAUUCCCUUCACGAGAUGCGCUUUCUGAGUGUGGAGGAAAGCUGGAUUCUUUUACGCGAUAAGGUCUUUGGGAAUGGUAGUUACCCUCCGGAAUUGGAGAAAAUUGGGAGAUACAUUGUCCGUCAGUGUCAAGGGUUGCCACUUGCAGUUGUUGCAAUUGGUGGACUACUUUCCAAGAUGAGCAAGGAAACAAGUUCUUGGGAGAAAGUUGCAGAAAAGGUAGGAUCACUUAUGACAAGUGACACUAUGGAUUGCUUGAACAUACUUUCUUUGAGCUACAACCACUUGCCUCAGUACUUGAAAACAUGCUUCCUUUAUAUGGGAGUUUUUGCAGAAAGUCGUGAGAUCCCGGUCUGGAAGUUAAUAAAGUUAUGGAUUGCUGAGGGCUUCGUCAAGAAAGUUAAUCAUAAAAAAUCUAGAAGAUGUGGCAGAGGAAAAUUUGAGGGAGUUGGUUGAUAGAAGUUUGGUUUUGGUGGGGAGAGAUACCUCCCUGGGAAAAAUCAAGACUUGUAAGAUGCAUGAUCUCGUUCGAGAUAUGUGUUUGAGAGAAUCCCAAUAUGAGAAUUUUUUACACUUCAAAACGAGGUAUGACAAAGAUAAUCUUCUAGAAAACAUUAAUUGUCUACGUCGUAUAGUUGAUUUCAUUAAUUAUGGAUCCAGUGGAAUUUCUAUAUUUAUUCCACUCGCACGUUCUGUUUUCUUCAAACAUGAAUACAACUUUUGUUCCCCCGCACGAUUAAGGUUUAGAUUGCUUAGGAUAUUAGAUGUUUGUUUUCCAUGUUCUUUCUCCUGUAGUCAGUCCAUAUCAGAACUUGUUCAUUUGAGGUAUCUUGCUUGUCCGUCCUUCGGUGGCCUUGUGCAAUCAAUAUGCAAGCUUCGGAAUUUACAGAACUUAGUUAUUCAUGAUGUAAGCUUAUUUGCUUCACUUAUAACAACCCAGUCCCUAGCAUGGGAAGUUUUGAAUAUGCCUCAACUAAGACAUAUCCAUACAAAAAACUUUAGUCUCUUCAUACCCCGACCUACAUCCCUAAUUGCUGAGAGGGAGAAUCACUUACUAACAAUAACCGGAUUGAUUCCCUCAUCUUGUAAUGAUGAGGUGUUUCUAAGAAUUCCAAAUUUGAAGAAGUUGGGAAUUUUAAUUGAUGUUGCUUCAUACCCUAUUAGGAAUUGCCUUGAUAAUCUUGUACAUUUAACUCAGCUUGAGAAGCUCAAAGUUGUGGUCAGAGAGCCUUUUCUGCUAAUUUUUACGCCGAUUAUCGAAGGUUGGAUGGACAUUCCACAUUGUGACAAUUUCCCACCAAACCUUAAGAAGUUAACAUUGUGCAGAACAAACCUACAAUGGGAAGACAUGAACAUUCUCAGAAAAUUACCUAAUCUUGAGGUGCUCAAACUUAAAGAUUAUGCCUUUCGCGGACUAACUUGGAAACUAAGCGAUGUAGACGAAGAUGGAUUCUUGAAGCUAAAGUUUUUACUUCUUGAGAGCUUGCAUCUGAUGCAAUGGGAAGCAACAAGUUAUCAUUUUCCAAGCCUUGAGCACUUUGUCCUAACAAAUUGCCGGUACUUGGAAAAAAUUCCUUUCGACUUUGCGGAGAUUCAGACACUACAGCUGAUUGAACUACACGAAUGUAUGCGUUCUGUUCUUGUUUCAGCAGAGCAAAUACAAGAGGAGCAACAAAGCUUUGGAAAUGAUGACCUCAUUAUCCGUGCGAACUAUAUACUUGAGUAAACAUUAAUCAAAAAGGUAUACCCUUUUUUUAAAAGCAUAAAGAUUUUUGAUUAGUUAGAUUCCUUCGAAAUCUGAAAAUGAUUUUUAUAUUCAUCAUUUUCACUUAUUUAUACUAUAAAAGGUGCUAAUUACAAUUGGUUUGUGCAUUGCAGACGUAACGACUAGCUAAAUGGAAAGUACCAUAAGGUAUAUACACUCAAGCAAAUUUGCAGAAGUUCAUGUUAUUUCCUGUCUGUGUAUUUCGAUUUCCUUUUAUCAAAUUCUGGGAAGUAAGUUAGUGAAAUAGUCAUGUUUCAACUUGUUUGGGACUGAAACGUAGUUUAGUGAAUCUGACAUCUAUAUACAUUCAUCAAAAAGAAUGCAUUACCUUUGGAAUGUGUAUAUAGAAUAACUUCUCUUUUUAUUGAAAUUGAUUCUAUAAAUUAGUUCUCCUCAACAAAACCUUUUCGACCAUACCAAACACACCCUUAGUGAUUCUUUGUUUUGCUCGUCUUAACUCUUAUCUAUACUUUUAACAUUUUUUUGUCUUUUACUUGCUUCUUUUGUUUACAAUAAUGUUUUAUCAUUUUCAAUAUGUUGACUUUUAGUCAAUUUUAUUUUUUCUUAAUUCAAAACAAUAUAAUAAAAGAGACGUUGAAAAAUUCCAAAUAUGUGAAAAAUCUUCUCUUUAUUUUGCUUUGCUCUUUCGAUCUUAAUUUAUAUAACAUAUUUCGCUUUUUAGUAUGUCUCAAAACAAAUUACUACAUUUUCUAAUUUGAAUAUAUAUUAAAAUUGUGGAUAUCAUAUUUUAGUUAUGAUGUUAUACUUUAGUUAAAGAAUUUUUCUUUUUUAAUUGUUCGCUUUAGCAAAUCAAGAUCAUAAAAUUAUUAAUUGAUUUUUUAAUAAUUGUAGCGUCUAAGUCCGUUUGUAUGCGCCAACUAAUUCUAUGAUAUACUAUAUCUAUUAUUCCUCACCAACCAUGCAUAAAGUAACUUUGUUAUCAAAGCUUGAACUGAUAAGAAGAAAUCAUCACGCGCGUGUUCUUAGUUAGCUAUAUCUAGAAUUUGAAUUUAAAAUCCCAUAAUUUUCAACACAUGACUUCAUUGACCAUCUUUCAAAAAUAACAUAAGAUCUACAUUUAUUCUAUCUUUUCUGAUCUGGUAAAUGAAAUUAUACUGAAUACGUUAUUGUGGUUGUUAUAUUGUCUUUGUGUAUCUAAAGAGAUAUGGAUGUGAGUGGGAACAUCCCAUGUGCAUAUACUCAAGAAAAGGAGAUUGAAAACAAUGUGUAUGAAUUGUGCCUUGGUACAGAAAAAAUAUGGAAUGGUCCCUCAUAACGAUAAUGAGUGAAAAAUGUGAGUUAUAUUAUUUUAGAAAAAUAAAAUAGGAAUCUUUUAGGUGUUGAAUUACAAUUGGUUCUUGUCUAUCUUUUUCGUCUUUUCCUUUUUUAAAGUAGAAUAUAAAAAAAAUAAUACUAAAAAUAGAAAGUUAAUUACCAAAAAGAGAAAUACCAAAAUAAACAUACAAAUUAAUUCUAGAUUAAGAAAAUUAAAAUACCAUAAUACUAAACUUAUUUAUUGAAACCUAAUUUGAAAAGGAUGAAAAUUAUUCUUUCUUUUGAAAAUGAAAUAAAAUUGAUAUUCUAAAAUAUGAUUCUAUUUUUGUAAUUUUUCAAUUUCAACAAAUAAAACUUAUCAAACUAAAACAAAGAUUAAAAAAAAAAACAACAACAUAGCAGUGAAUUUCCAAAAGUGGGUAUAAGAAGGGUAGGAUAUAAGAAGUGUACUGUAACCAACGUAGAAUUGAAAGGAAAAUAACGUCAAGAAAUAUCAAGAUACAUAAAGUAAAUGAAACAACAUGCAAUGGUGAAAAGUAAAGAAUAAGAUAGUAUGCGACUAUGUCUACUAAUCAACAUUUACUAAAUAAAGAGAAGACGAGAAGAGGAAGUUAAUCCCCCGCUUCUCCCACAAAGAAAUAUGACAACAAUAAUCGACUAUUUACUAUUCUUGUACUAUAAUCUUCGAUCUUCAUAUCUUCUUAUUUAGGUCAUGUAUUUCGAAGAUGUUUCAUGUCAUAUCUAAAUUAUCUCUUCUCAAUUCCUCUUCGUCUUAUUUGUACCUCUCAUAAAAUCGGUUACAAAUCAAUCUCUUCACACCUUCUUAUUUGUACACUCAUUCCUGCAUCUCUCCAUAUAUGUUCGAACUAUUUCUAUCUCGUUUUCCUCAUCUUAAUCCUUACUAAAAAAUGUUAAUCAGAUUCCAAUGUGGAUAUCAAAUAUCGAACACCGAAUAAAGAUGAAAAACAAGAAAAAAAUCCAAAGAUGCUGUUUUUAUUCCUGCCACAUAGAUUAUUGGGUCAGCCAUAAAAAUAUCUUCGUUAGCUGGCUGAUGACGUGGACUUCCUCUGGUGGCAGGUUUAGGUCUCUAGAUAUUUUCACCUCAAAAUAUCCUUCAACCACGUGUCGACCAAACUUUCAUUUUUGCCAUCCAAACACCUAUAAACUACCGAAAUGCCAUUGACUAUCAAUACUAGUUUGUAUUUUUUAUUUCUAAAUUCUAAUACUAUACUAUUAGUUCUUACUAUUUUUUGAAAAGUUACACUUUUAAGAUCCACUUUUUUUUAUAUAUUGAUAGCGUUAUUAAAUAUUUAUGAAAUAAAAAAAAAAUUAUUACUCUUUUUUGAAUUAAUUAAAAGGAAAAAGGUAUUGUAUAUAUUAAAAUAGAGCGAAUAUUAUUUUAUCAUGAUUAUUAUUUACAAAAUAUAGUAAGUAAUUGUUCGAUUUUGGAUUCAAAUACCUUCUUUUAUUUCUUUAGUAUGUUUUCCAUUGAUUACUACUUACUUAGUAUAAGUCGCUAGAAGGUGACACGGCUUGAACAACAUGUCUACUUCAGAAGCCAGGGAUAAUUUUAUCUUUCUUCGUGCAAUUACACAUGGCAUUGAUUGAUAAAAAUAUGAAAGACUAGAUUUACCCUUACUCCUCUAUUUUUUUUUUGGCAAUUAACAAAUUUUAUUAAUUACCAUAACCAUGAGAAAUUAUUUUAGAUUUAACCCUUGUCAAAGACAAAAUCCAUCAAAACAAUGUCACAACUAUCAACUAAAUGUGAUAUCUAAUGUGAAUUGUAAAAUUUUUGAACCAUCGAGUCUUUAAUUGCAUAUUACGCUUGAAGCUAUUAGGUCAAUGACAUAUAUUUGUCUGAAUGCCACGCAUUAUAUUGCAUCGCCGCUAAAAUGCUUAAAGAAACUAUCAACUAAAUAUAGACAUAGCAACAACUAUAGCCUUUAAUAUGCAUUUUUGUGCACUCUUAAUUUUCAUAUCAUUAAAUCCAAAAUAUAUACCUAAAACGAGGAAUCAAUUAUACAUAGUACUAGAACUAGAAUACUUAUUCUUAGGGCCACUUAAAUAUAUUUUUAAGUAGCUAGAACAGCUAAUUAACCACUAUUAUAAUGCUAUGUUCCUUAAUCCUAGUAUAUAAUUCAACUUUAAAUAUAAUCAGUAGGUCAAGUGUGAUAAUGACAUCCAUAAUUAUCGUUUAUCACACUCCAAUUUAAUAAUAAAAUAAUAAAUUAACAUUGAAGCAUAACUAUGGCCUAUGGGUUCUCAAUACAUGAAUAUUCUCUCAAACAGGUAUAUAAUUUUUUUAUAAAUAGUUCUACUUUAAAGCAUAGUUACAAAACGUAAAUAUAAUUUAACAUAACUAUAAUUAUUGUAUCAGGUAAAAGAAUUGUAUCAUGCAGAUAUCAAUUAUAUCGACAACUAAUUAUAUUCAAACAACAAGUAUCAUCCGUAUCAGACGGAUAUCAACGCAUACUAUAUCAAUUGAUAAGUUCAAUCUUUAUGUUUCUAUCAACAGAAUUCAUUAUACUUUUAAAAUUACGAAUUCAAAUAUUUUAAUAUUAAAACACACACGUCUAUGCAUGAUAUCAGAAAUACUAGGUUCGUAUUAAUCCAAUUCUUACAUCACCCCCCCCCCCACACACACACACAAUAAAAAUAUCUUACUUUCGGUGUGAACUAUGAAUUAAAUUUCAAAAAAUAACAAUUCUAAAAAAGAUUAUUUAAUUUUGUAAACAAUAAUAGUUUCAAAUUCCAUAGCAGAAACUCCAGUACAUUGUCAUGGAGUAAAACUUGUAAAAACAACAACAUAUCUAGUGUAAUCUCACAAGUGAAGACUAGGGUGAUAGGAUGUGAACAAACCUUAUCCUUACCUUUGUGGUGUAGAGAGAUGUUGUUUCCGAUAGACCCUCGACUCAACAAUAAAGAAAAGAAUUUGAAGCAUGGUAGCAAGAAAAUAUGACAGCAAAACAGCAAGAUACAAAUCAAAUGAAGCAACAAAGUGCAACAAUACUCGGCUACCUACUAACUUUCUAAUCUAAUCCUCAACUUUCACUCCUUCCUAUCUAGGGUCAUAUCCGGAGUAAAACUUGUAGAUUUUGAAAUUACCUGACUAUAGUUAUAUUUCGAAGAUAUGUCCGAAAAGUGGCUCUCUAGUAUGAAUGUAGUUUGGGCAAGUUGUAUGACUUUGGGUCUCUGAAACUAUUCCAACUUGCUUUUUGGUACAAGUCUUAAAUACAAUUUGGGUCUCAAUCUGACAAAUAAUUCAAUGAGCAAAACAAGAAUUCUCACUUCUACCCUUCCACCAACCCUACCAUUACUCUAUUGGAGAGAAGCAGUCACAAAGAGAAGACUUCUCUUUACAAACCCUUAAAAGUCUUGCAUUCCCAUCCAUUACACUGCCUUCUUCUUUCAUAAAGAAUUGGUUUUGAGAAUCUAAAUCAACAACUCAGAACUUCCUCCUACUGUCCUGUUUAGCAAGAAACUAACAAACAGCGAUAUGGCGGCGUAUGCUGCUGUGACUUCACUUUUGCAUACCCUGGACAGUCUAUCUCAAACUGAUAUUCUUUACAAAAAAAAGCAAACUGAAGUCCUCAGUGACAAGUACACCUUCCUUAAAACCUUUCUUGAGGAUUUUACUAAUAUUUUCCAUGAAGAUGUAAAGAUGAAGCAUCUCGAAAGGAUAAUCCAAGAAGCUGCUAAUGGAGUGGAAGAUACUAUUGACUCACAUGUAUAUGAUAGACAUGUUUUAGUACAAAGCAAGCAAGUACGAAGUAAGGCUGAUGCAAUUUUCCAUCAAAACUUGGAAUAUGCAAUUGAGGAAAUUGGUUUGAUACAAAAAGAGGUUAUGAAAAAGAUAAAGGUCAACAAGUUCAACAGCAAAAUCUCUCAUUCAAGAGAUACUUCAUCUCAGAUCCCUUUGGAUCAAAAAGAUAUAAUCGUUGGACUAGAUGAAGAUUUACUAAGGAUAAAAGAUCGACUCAUCGUGCAAUCAUCAAGACUCGAAGUUGUCCCUAUUAUAGGGAUGGGUGGUAUUGGCAAGACCACACUGGCUAGAAGAGUUUAUGAUGAUUCCUUGAUUGCAUACCAUUUUUAUGUCCGAGCAUGGACAAAUGUAUCUCAAGAAUUUGACACCAGAGAAAUUUUUCUUGGUAUUCUUCGCUCCAUUGGCGCAGUCAACGAUGAAGUAGAAAGAAACAGUACUAAUGAGCAAUUGGCUGAAAGAGUUUAUCGAAGUUUAAAAGGGAGGAAGUAUCUUAUUGUCCUAGAUGAUAUGUGGUCCAUCGAGGCUUGGCAGCAUGUGAGGAGAUCAUUUCCAGAUGAUCAUAAUGGAAGUCGAAUCGUGUUGACCACAAGGCUUGCAGAUGUUGCAUCUUGUGCUUGCUCUGUCAAUUCCCUUCACCAGAUGCGCUUUCUGAGCAUGGAGGAAAGCUGGACUCUUUUACGCGAUAAGGUCUUUGGGAACGGUAGUUACUCUCCGGAAUUGGAGAAAAUUGGGAGAUACAUUGUCCAUCAGUGUCAAGGGUUGCCACUUGCAGUUGUUGCAAUUGGUGGACUACUUUCCAAGAUGAGCAAGGAAACAAGUUCUUGGGAGAAUGUUGCAGAAAAGGUAGGAUCGCUUAUGACCAGUGACACUACGGAUUGCUUGAACAUACUUUCUUUGAGCUACAACCACUUGCCUCAGUACUUGAAAGCAUGCUUCCUUUAUAUGGGAGUUUUUGCAGAAAUCCGUGAGAUCCCGGUCUGGAAGUUAAUAAAGUUAUGGAUUGCUGAGGGCUUCGUCAAGAAAGUUAAUCAUAAAAAUCUAGAAGAUGUGGCAGAGGAAAAUUUGAGGGAGUUAGUUGAUAGAAGUUUGGUUUUGGUGGGGAAGCAUACUUCCCUACGAAAAAUCAAGACUUGUAAGAUGCAUGAUCUCGUUCGAGAUAUGUGUUUGAGAGAAGCCAAAUAUGAGAAUUUUAUACACUUCAAAACAAGGUAUGACCAUGAUGACCUUCUAGAAAACAUUAGUUGUCUACGUCGUGUAGCUGAUUUCCAUAAGUAUACAGACAGUGAACUUUCUAAACUUAUGCCACACACACGUUCUGUUUUCUUCAAAUAUCCAUACUUUUUUGUUUCCUCUCACAGUCGAGCUUUAGAUUACUUAGGAUAUUAGAUGUUUGCUUUGAUCCUUUUUUUAACUGUUCUCCGUCCAUAUCCGAAUUGAUUCAUUUGAGGUAUCUUGCUUGUCCGUCCUUCGAUGGCCUUGUGCAGUCAAUAUGCAAGCUUCGGAAUUUACAGAACUUAGUUAUUCAUGAUUCAUGUCCAUUUGGUUUAUGUAUGUGGGAAGUUGUGAAUAUGCCUCAACUAAGACAUAUCCAUACAAAAAAGUUUAUUCUUUUCAUACCCCCACCUACAUCACUAAUUGCUGUGAGGGAGAAUCAUUUACAAACGUUAACCGGAUUGAUUUCCUCAUCUUGUAAUGAAGAGGUGUUUCUAAGAAUUCCAAAUUUGAAGAAGUUGGGAAUAUUAAUUGAUGUUGUUUCAGACACUAUUCAGAAGUGUUAUUGUCUUGAUAAUCUUGUACAUUUAACUCAGCUUGAGAAGCUCAAAGUUGAGUGCGAUUAUCUGCAGGAGUUAAUUUGGAUCUUAGGAGCUCGAAGCUUAGGUUGGGUGGGCCUUCCUUUGCUACACAUUCCACAUUGUGAAAAUUUCCCACCAAACCUUAAGAAGUUAACAUUGUGCAGAACGUACCUACAAUGGGAAGACAUGAACAUUCUCAGAAAAUUACCUAAUCUUGAGGUGCUCAAACUUAAACAUAAUGCCUUUGACGGACUAAUUUGGAUACUAAGCGAUGAAGACGAAGAUGGAUUCUUGAAGCUAAAGUUUUUACUUCUUAAGCGCAUGAGUCUGAAGCAAUGGGAAGCAACAAGUUAUCAUUUUCCAAGCCUUGAGCACUUAGUCCUAAAAGAUUGCCGGAACUUGGAACAAAUUCCUUUCGACUUUGCGGAGAUUCAGACACUACAGCUGAUUGAACUACACGAAUGUAUGCGUUCUGUUCUUGUUUCAGCAGAGCAAAUACAAGCGGAGCAACAAAGCUUGGGAAAUGAUGACCUCAUUAUUCAUGCGAACUAUAUAUGUGAGUAAACAUUAAUCAAAAAGGUAUACAUUUCUUAAAAGCAUAAAUUUUUUGAUUAGCUAGAUUCGUUCGAAAUCUGAAAAUGUUUUUAUAUUCAUCAUUUUCACUUAUUUAUACUAUAAAAGGUGCUAAUUACAAUUGGUUUGUGCAUUGAAGACGUAACGACUAGCUGAUGGAGAGUACCAAAAGGUAUAUAUACUCAAGCAAAUUUGCAGAAGUUCAUAAUCUUUCCUGUCUGUGUAUUUCAAUUUCCUUUUUUUCAAAUUCAGGGAAGUAAGUUAGUGAAAUAGUCAUGUUUCGACUUGUUUAGGACUGAGACUUAGUUUAGUGAAUCUGAUAUCUAUAUACAUUCAUCAGAAAGAAUACAUUACCUUUGGAAUGUGUAUAUAGUUGAAUAACUUCUCUUUUUAUUGAAAUUGAUUCUAUAAAUCAGUUCUCCUCAACAAAACCUUUUUCGUCCAUUACCAAACACACCCUUAGUGUUUCUUUGUUUUGCUCGUCUUAACUCUUAUCUAUACUUUAACAUUUUUGUGUUUUACUUGCUUCUUUUGUUUACAAUAAUGUUUUAUCAUUUUGAAUAUGUUGACUUUUAGUCAAUUUUAUUUUUCUUUAGUUCAAAACAAUAUAAUAAAAGAGGCGUUGAAAAAUUCCAAAUACGUGAAACGUAAUCUUCUCUUUAUUUUGCUUUGCUCUUUCGAUCUUAAUUUAUAUAACGUAUUUCGCUUUUUAGUAUGUCUCAAAACAAAUUUACUACAUUUUUCUAAUUUGAAUAUAUAUUAAAAUUGUGGAUAUCAUAUUUUAGUCAUGAUGUUAUACUUUAGUUAAAGAAUAUUUCUUUUUACUUGUUCACUUUAGCAAAUCAAGAUCAUAAAAUUAUUAAUUGAUUUUUUUAUAAUUGUAGCGUCUAAGUCCGUUUGUAUGCGCACCGACUAAUUCUAUGAUAUACUAUAUCUAUUAUUCCUCACCAACCAUGCAUAAAGUAACUUUGUUAUCAAAGCUUGAACUGAUAAGAAGAAAUCAUCACGUGUUCUUAAUUAGCUAUAUCUAGAAUUUGAAUUUAAAAUCCCAUAAUUUUCAACACAUGACUUCAUUGACCAUCUUUCAAAAACAACAUAAGAUCUACAUUUAUUCUAUCUUUUCUUCCUGAUAAAUGAAAUUACACAAAAUACGUUGCGGUUGUUAUAUUGUCUUUGUGUAUCUAAAGUGAUAUGGGUGUGAGUGGGAACAUCCCAUGAGCAUAUGCUCAAGAAAAGGAUAUUGAAAACAAUGUGUAUGAAUUGUGCCCAAAUUAAAGUCAAUUCACUAUGCAUUUUCUUUAGAAAGAAAUGAAGGGUACAAACAUGUUUUUUUAAUAUUCAAGUUGGAAUAAACAACACAAUAUAAUCAAACUGAGAAAUGAUAUUCAAUAUACUUUUGCAGGCAUCCAGCAAGUUGGAAUAGUUUAAAGGUAAAAUGCAUAAGUACCCCCAGCUUAUGUUCAAAAUCCCUGAGACAUACCUAACAUUUACUAAGGUCCUAUUACUCUCUUGAACUUAUUUUAUAUAUAAUUUUCUACCCCUUUUCAGCUUACAUGGCACUAUCUUGUGGGUCCAGCGCGUGUUGUCAAUUUUUCCAAGGAUAGUGCCACGUAGGCCGAAAAGGGGUAAAGAAUUAUAUAUAAAAUAAGUUUAGGGGUAAUAGGACCUUAGUAAAGGUUAGGUGUGUCUUAGAAAUUUUGGACAUAGGCUGGGGGUACCUUAUGCAUUUCCCCUAGUAUAAAUCAGAUGAGUUCAAAAAGUUGGCACCAUACCGGGUGCAAUUCCGCAAGUAGGGUCUCGGAGGUUAAAAUGUACGCAACCUUAUGAAGGUAGACACACUAUUUUAAGUAGACUCUCGGCUCAAGUAACGCUUAGAAAGAAAAUAUAGUAGGAAGAAGUCAUGCUAAAAAUAACGCAGGAGAGAAUAGUAACAAGAUGUUAAAUAAUGUGGAGCCCAAAUGUAAUUUUCUAACUUUUUUUCUUUUUGUAUUUCUUUCCACAAAAAUAUUGAACUUUGAACUUCACACAUAAAAUCAAUGUUAAAUUUGUCUUACCUUCCCCUCCAAAAUAACCUCUUUAAAAAUGACACAAAUGAAGAAAUUGCACUGAUCCAAAUGAGGAAAAUCAGUUGAAAAGCUUGGAUCUUCCACUGAUGUAAAAAAAAAAUUGAGUCCCCUUUUCCUCUUUUAGUGUAAAGUUCAAAUCUUUGUACUGAUAAUCAGUUUUGAUUGGUUUUUAAAAAAAAAAAAUUAACCCCCUUUUCCUCUUUCAGUUUAAAGCUCAAAUCUUUUUACUGAUAAUCAUUUUAUUUUUUUGCAGAGUUAUGGAGAGCAACACUUAAGAGGAUUGCAAGAGUAACUUAUUUUCCCCCAUAGUACAGUUUCCUCUCUUUUUUUCUCAAUACAUUGCAUUUUUGUUAUUGUUAUUGUUGUUGUUGUUGUGGGUUAGUACAUAAAUGUUGAUCUUUAUUGUGCUUAAUUAUUAUUUCAGAAAGUCACGCUUCUUCUUGAUUUCAAUUUUUUUCAACAAAGAAAGUGACCUUCUGACAAUAAUAACUAUUAGUUGAAUGACCAUCUUAGAAAGUGACAUUUCAAUUUUUUUCGACAAAGAAAGUGACAUUACCUAACCAUAGUUAUUUUUCAAAGAUAUGAUCAAAAAGUGGCUCAUUACGGUAUGAAUGUAGUUUGGGCAAGUUGUAUGACUUUGGGACUCAUUUUAAAAAACUAUUCCAACUUGCCUUUUGGUACAAGUCUUAAAUACCAUUGACUUCAAUCAAAACUCUCUUAUAGAGAAACAGACACAAAGAGAAGACUUCUCUUUACAUAGCCUAACAAGUCUUGCAUUCCCAUCCAUUACACUGCCUUAUCCGAUAGACCCUCGACACAACAAUAAAGAAAAGAAUUUGAAGCAUGGUAGCAAGAAAAUAUGACAGCAAAACAGCAAGAUACAAAUCAAAUGAAGCAACAAGUAGUAAUGCACAUCGAAGAAAAAGAAACAAAGUGCAACAAUAUUGCUACCUACUAACCUUCUAAUGUAAUCCUCAACUUUCACUCCUUCCUACCUAGGGUCAUAUCCGGAGUAAAACUUGUAGAUUUUGAAAUUACCUGACUAUAGUUAUUUUUAGAAGAUAUGUCCGAAAGUGUCUCUCUAGUAUGAAUGUAGUUUGGGCAUGGGUCUCUGACAAACUAUUCCAACUUGCUUUUUGGUACAAGUCUUUAAAUACAAUUUGAGUCUCAAUCUGACAAAUAAUUCAAUGAGCAAAACAAGAAUUCUCACUUCUACCCUUCCACCAACCCCACCAUUACUCUCUUGGAGAGAAACAGACACAAAGAGAAGACUUCUCUUUACAAAACCUAAAAAGUCUAGCAUUCCCAUCCAUUACAUUGCCUUCUUCUUUCAUAAAGAAUUGGUUUUGAACAUCUAAAUCAAGAACUCAGAACUUCCUCCUAUUGUCCUGUAUAGUGAGAAACUAACAAACAGCGAUAUGGCGGCGUAUGCUGCUGUGACUUCACUUUUGCAAACCCUGGAUCAUCUAUCUCAAACUCAUACAUCACAUUCUCUUCAUUACAAAAAAGAGCAAACUGAAGUCCUCAGUGAGAAGUACACCUUCCUUAAAACCUUUCUUGAGGAUUUUACUAAUAUUUUCCAUGAAGAUGUAAUGAUGAAGCAUCUCGAAAGGAUGAUCCAAGAAGCUGCUAAUGGAGUGGAAGAUACUAUUGACUCACAUGUAUAUGAUAGACAUGUUUUAGUACAAAGCAAGCGAGUACGAAGAAAGGCUAAUACAACUUUCCAUCAAAACUUGGAAUAUGCAAUUGAGGAAAUUGGUUUGAUACAAAAAGAGGUUAUGAAAAAGAUAAAAGGUCAACAAGUUCAACAGUAAAAAUCUCUCAUUCAAGAG